CUUAAGGAGCUCCAGGAUCAUCAUUCAUCGCCAGUUCGUUGCCCCUGAUGGAACCUCAUUCUCACGAGUGGACGUCCGAAUCUGUGACUACCCAAGCAGAACUUCACCCAAAGUUACCUACCUCUUCUCGGAGUUUCAUCCAGCUGAAGAACGCUUCACGAGCCUUGCUGAAUCUCCAGCCACGUCACGAGCCGUUGCCGAACCUCCAGUCACGCCACGAGCCAUCGCCGAACCUCCAGCCUCGCCGCUCUCCUGCCGCAACAUCAAACCAACGUCAUUGGAGCAAUAAAACAUCAUACUUACCUUUACUCACCUCCUGUCUUCCUUCCGGGUUUCAGCAUCUGCAUCUGUCUAGCCUGGCUAGCCAUGACAAUUGCCUUCUUUCCAAUGCACCAGUCAAUGCACGCAUUGAUGGGUAAAGGACAAACUCAUCAGUAAAUACAUAUUUGAGAUAGAUUUAUAAAAAAAAGGAGGAACGCCUUGAAAACAAGAUGUGGCAUCUCAAGGAGCGAAUCCACCCAUUUCUUAUCAAAUGUUUAAAUACAUAAAUACAUAUUGAGAUUUAAAAGGACAUAUGACAAUGCAAUUCUGGCAAGAAAACUAGAAGACAUCAUUUCUAAAUUUGGUUAGAGUAAAAAUAAUCUUAUAAAUUUAAAGUCUAUUUCAUUUUUCUUUCCCUUUAGCACUUUCAAAUUUUUGUAAAUGGUUUAUACUUUCCCUUUUGAACAGUUUUUUUGUUUUUUGUCAUAAAAAUAUGAUCAGCUCUCUGAUUGGUAGGACUUCCACUCGUGUUGUAAUGUGAACAAUUAAAGAGCUGUUUGCACUUGA